GAUGAACGCUGGCGGCGUGCUUAACACAUGCAAGUCGGACGGUAGGGCUUUAUCGUAAGAUAGAGUUUGAGAGUGGCGAACGGGUGAGUAACACGUAGGAAUCUACCCUUAAGACGGGGACAACCCAGGGAAACUUGGGCUAAUACCGGAUGAGAGUGCGAGAGAUUGCAUUUAAAAGGAUGGCGAAAGUUGUCGCUUAGGGAUGAGCCUGCGGUCUAUUAGUUAGUUGGUGAGGUAAGAGCUCACCAAGGCGAUGAUAGAUAGGCGGCCUUAACGGGUGGUCGCCCACACUGGGAUUGAGAUACGGCCCAGACUCCUACGGGAGGCAGCAGUCGAGAAUAGUCUACAAUGGCCGGAAGGCUGAUAGUGCGACGCCGCGUGUGUGAAGAAGGCCUGCGGGUUGUAAAGCACUUUUAGUGGGGAGGAAGGUCUGCGACCUAACACGUCGUGGAAUUGACUUAACCCACAGAAAAGCACCGGCUAACUCUGUGCCAGCAGCCGCGGU
rnacentral:rRNA from 1 species